rnacentral:rRNA from 1 species
GCGCGCAGGCGGCCUGACAAGUCAGAUGUGAAAGCCCCGGGCUCAACCUGGGAAUAGCAUUUGGGACUGUCGGGCUAGAGAUCGGGAGAGGAAAGUGGAAUUCCUGGUGUAGCGGUGAAAUGCGUAGAUAUCAGGAGGAACACCGGUGGUGUAGACGGCUUUCUGGACCAUAACUGACGCUGAGACACGAAAGCGUGGGUAGCAAACAGGAUUAGAUACCCUGGUAGUCCACGCCCUAAACGAUGCAUAUUUGGUGUGGGUCAUUCAGUUGAUCCGUGCCGGAGCUAACGCGUUAAAUAUGCCGCCUGGGGAGUACAGUCGCAAGGCUGAAACUCAAAGGAAUUGACGGGGGCCCGCACAAGCGGUGGAGCAUGUGGUUCAAUUCGACGCAACGCGAAGAACCUUACCUGGGCUCGAACGGCUUCUCAACGCCGGUAGAAAUACCGGUACCCCGCAAGGGGGUGGAGUCGAGGUGCUGCAUGGCUGUCGUCAGCUCGUGUCGUGAGAUGUUGGGUUAAGUCCCGCAACGAGCGCAACCCUCGCCCUUAGUU